ensembl:lncRNA
AUGCGUCCGAUAUCCACUACCGCUGUCCGUAAAAACGGAGGGCCAGACAGUGUUGAGGCCGCGGUGGAAAUGCCACACAGCCGCAUACUAAACGCAAGAAAAACAGCACACACUCGAAAUGUGCUCUCACCAAUGGGAUUAUAUUUCUGUGUAAAUGAGCGGCGCGCCCCUCCCAUUCUUAAAAAGUCCACAGCUACAGUCCAGAAGGACUUCCAGCGAGACUUGCUGAUGAGAGGCCGAGGGUCCACAAGCGGAAGACGGAGACCAAAAGCGAAAAAAAGACGCAGAGUGUCCCUCUCCAUCCAAGUGGACAUGACACGAGUAAAUGCGUUGCAUAGUUACAACUCCAUGCACGUGUUCCUCACAGGACACCGUGAGACAAGGAGCGUUGUGCUCAGCGAGUGGGACGAAAUAGAAGCUUUCUGUUAAAAAGGAGCGUAGACAACAACGCUCUAUGAGAUAAACAACGUUACACUGGUUGUAACUCGACCUGAGAGGAGUUGGGUUUAAACCAGACACACAGGGAGGGGAAAAAAACACAAAUUGAGAGGCCAAGGGAACGCAACACGGUAUUUAAACACGGAAAACUUUAAUAGUUUCAACACAGGGUGUUAAAGGGGGAAACGCGGCCGUCUUCUUAGUAAUCAAAGCAUUUUGUUUGGAAAUCGGACCACACAGAACUUUUCCUGCAGAUUUGUUAUGGGUGAAAUGCAAAAAUAACAAAAGAGCUAAAGCGGCUGUUCCCAAUUUCUUUGGUAAGCUACGGUAAACAAUUCCUGGACAUUCUUAGGCCAUAUUCUUUUCAUUUUAGCACCACCAUCAUCCUGUUUGUGGGAACCUGUUCAGCGACAGAACUGGCAUCCGGUCUCAGGCGCCUCGUCGGACAAAAACCAUGGCAUGAAUUCACUGAUGUGACCCAUGGGUACGGACACAAAAGUGGUUUUAUUGUUCUCAUCAAGCUCCAAAAAGAGAACAACAUCACUCCUAAAUAUUUGAUGCAUUGGACCCUCAUCUUUUUUGGGAGCAGCAGCAGCUGGAUGACACCUGUUCCUGUACAGCGACUUCCCACAAGCCACCGACCACCAGACGCCGGGCCGGGUCGCUGCCAUCUACCCGCCGCGCCGGGACUUGGUAAACUGGUCACAUAUAAAGUAUUUUUUUUUUUCCCAAGCGUCACAAUAGUCGUGUCUGUGACGACGUCAGCACAAUGCAUGUUCUCUUGCAUUUAACCAACAUCCUGCCUCGGACGUGUCGGGAAGGGGAAUUCAAUGAUGUGGCAGCUUCUGCAUCUGUAUCCUGCUUGCAGCUGGCAAAAGACCUUUCUACCCCAUAACUGAGAGGGUCCUUACAGGACGCAUCUCCCAAGAACGCUAUUUUCAAAAGAAAAUCUUCCAAAUAUUAUCUUAAACAUUUCCAGACUCCUCAUACGUCUGGUAUGGACCCAAAUGUAAAAAUCAACCGUCAAAUUUGCUAUUUGGUAGCAUAAUAUUAUCGGGCAUGAAAAUAAAUAUUGUUCUUAGGGGUUAGAGGCAUAAAUCCAUUGGUUAGGAGGUGACAAAUACAGACAGGAAAUCUGUUUCCACUCAACAUAUUUUUUCAGCCAAUACCAACUUUUGAGGCCUAAAGUAAUUUGUGCGUUCAACACAACCUUAAAAAUCCACUGGAACACCAGACAAAAGUAAAGAAAGACUUGCAAUCCACCACAUAUUAUUACUACAUAAGUUGUAAGUACGCUUUAAAGAGGGGUGUCACGGGGGAAGUUUAUUUACUUACUACAGCAUGGUAAAUGUCUCUUUGAAAGGGCCGGAGGACAUAAUCAUUUCUAUUGAUGUGGUACAGAAACUUCAAACUGUUUCAUGAAGCUUUUAACACCUGCCAGAGCAGGACAUUCAUCACGGCGCAGCGAGGAGGAGAAUUAAAGGGAAUAAACCACCUCCUCCAACCUGGCUGAAUAGCUGCAGCGUCUCCCAUCUACGACAUUGCGGGUGUCAUUCAUAUUUGUCUGUUGGGCUACAUGCUAAAAGGUUUUUAUUGGCCUCUGCGCGAUUACUAAAUCAUCUUCAACAAACUUCGGCCGGUUACCCACACAUUCCAGGGAGUGAGUGGAGUCGGGACACCUGGCCUUAAAUAACCCCCUCAUGGCCUGUAAAAAAAACAGAAGUAGGAAUUUCUCAUUUCUGUGCUCAUAAAUGAAAGUUCAGAUGAAAAAAAAAAUGAAAAAAAAGCUUCCUAACAAAAUGACGUCGAGUCUGGAUGGAAGGAGUGGUCCAUCCUGAGAGGUGCCUCCGAUUAUAUCUGCAAGGAACAAAGCAGCCACUCUCUUAAAAAAAAACAAAAAUCAGACACACUUGAGCACAAAAAUAAACCCUCUGGCUGGCGGAAUAGGUCACUGGGAUACCACGGGACGAGCCCACGGGACGAGCCCACGGGACGAGCCCACGGGACGAGCCCACGGGACGAGCCCACGGGACGAGCCCACGGGACGAGACGCGGCGCUGCUUUGCACCUUCUUAAAGACCAAGUAAAUGACUCGCGUGGUUGAUUUUAUGCGCCGAGAAAACACAAAAGAACGUCAAGGCGGCGAGGGGGGGGGGAGGGGGUUGCAGUGGAGAACCUUCUCUUCAAAAAACCGCCCUUACGGAUGUAGAAAAGGAAAAACGGCGGCAGUUUGGAUUGCAGCCAGGAAGCUAUCUCUAGGCGCCAGGCAGCCCCCCCCCCCAAAAAAAGAAAUCUCCUGCCUGAGCCCCAAAUGGGAGCUUGUUUGAAGUCGCAGGAUGCAGAGCUCAAGCGUUUCCUGCCUCAGAUUAAAGAAGGCCCAUCUUAGAGGCUUUUGCUUGCAUUCUGGGGCUUUUUUCAUUUGACCUGGUCGCAGAUGGGCCUCCGUCCAUAAACCUCCUCCGCCCUGCUGAACGGCCGCCAGGGCAACGGAGAGAUAAACACUCGGUGGCAAUAAUUGAUACCACGGACAAACAAAGAUGCCAGGGAGAGAAAGGGCACGCUGUCCUCCGCUCCUUCCGUCACUGCUGAUUCACAUCCUCCACUCGGCUUUCUUCUCCUCCCCCUUCUCUCUUAUUCAAAGUCAUUCGUUCUUCUCUCUGGAGCUGCGUCUCUCUGUCUGUCAAUCCUCUUGAUCGCAGCGUCCUCCCACACACUUCUCCUUCUGUUUUAAAUAUAGAGGCCUCGAUGGGCUGGUGCUUUACUUAGCCGGCAGAUGUGCAAUUACGAAAAGGACCAUUUGGACCACAAUAGCACCCCGGGGGCAGAGCUCUGAGGCCUGUUACGUCCUGUCUCGCUCUCUCUCGCUCUUUGGCCGUUUCCUUUUUCAAAUUGCAGUUUUUCUCUCUUUGUCUCAGGUCACAAUUGCCGCUGCCGCUCGCGGAAAAAGCCAACGCCUUGAUCAUCGGCCCGUGUUUCCCCGACACAACCUGCUGCACCUGUAAAACCAUGUGGACGGACUAUUAUUCUCCUCACUUGGAUAUACAUACAGUCAGGGUUGUCAUUAUGCUUAUUUUCAAGGCCUGUAAAACCUGUGUGUGUGUGUGUAAGGGGGGGGGGUUGUUGUCAUGCCCUGGAGCUGCUCUAUUUGGUCUAAAACUCUCCUGCAGGGUCACAGCUGGGACAUCUGCUCCUCAUACACUCAUUUCUUCUCUUUCCAGGGUUAGGGUUACUUUGGGAGUUCCUUCUUUCCUUAUCCCCCCCCCCCCCCCCCCCCCCCCGAACAUUCAUGGCUGAAAUGACAGCGAGAAACCAAAUCAACACGCUGUUACAGACCUUUACAAGGUGGCUCAAAGCAAAACAACUAGAGGCUCCCUCUUUGUGACUGUCUCACCCCGAGCCGGACUGACUAAUGUGGAAGGUAUGUGCUGAGCCUACAACCUCUGCCGCCGUUGGCCUCUGGAAUUCGGCUUCACGCGAGGAACGCCCAACCUCCACCAGUCACACCGAACCCUCCUGCUGCUGCCGGUGCCCACUCUCCCUUCUUAAAGACACCGCCGUCUCGCUCCGUCCAUCAUUUACGCAUGCUCGGGUCUGAGCACUGCAGACGGAGGCGGGUGGCAGGCGAGGGAGGAGUGGUGGUGUGUAAGGAGCGGUUUGGGGGGGGGUCUAAAUCUGGGAAUCAAAGAGUCUGGAGGGGAUCAAAGCCGCCGGCCACACAGGUUUAAACCAAAACCAUGAAAAGGUCGGCAGUGAGAGAACGAUCAUCAUUGGGGCUGAGCUUCUCCGAAAGGUCGCUAAAUGUGUCGUCUGCACAUCAUUGCUAUAUAUGUAUGAAUGUAUACACACACACAUUUAUAUACAGAGUAUUCAGUAUGCAAAUGACUAUGUUUAGUGGUUGCCUGAAAGCAGUUCUUGUUUCUCUGGAGAGAAUAAGCAUGUUUGGAGGCCUUAUAGUCCUCUGCCUUUGACUACAACAGAACAGCCAGCAGGACCUAAAACGACAUAAAGUGGUUGAAGCUUCCGAUUUUCAUCUCAUUUCAGGUCUUAAACCAAUAACAACUGUUGAAAUUACAUCAAAAGAGGACAAUGGCAACAGUGCCUCUCCCCCACAUUCCUCCAUUUUCUACCAGCUCAUUGUUGAGCUUUUUUGAAACGUGGGUACUUUAACGACUCAAAAUGAACGUGGUUUCUCAUCCACUUUAGAGUAUGACUGAAGAAAGACGGUAGGAGGUUUACCCCAAAUCCUUCAGCAAUUAAGGUCAUUAAGGACGAGAAGAAUAUAAGCCGGGCUCAUAUUCCUCAGAGGGACCAGCGUGUUUGUUGAUAGGGCUUCAGUUUCCAUGACACAGCUCUCCUGAGGAGAACAAUUCCCAUCAAGCGUCUCUGCAGCCUUUCGCUGAGAACUCGGGGG